UACGUAGGGUGCGAGCGUUGUCCGGAAUUAUUGGGCGUAAAGGGCUCGUAGGCGGUUUGUCGCGUCGGGAGUGAAAACCCAGGGCUUAACUCUGGGCUUGCUUUCGAUACGGGCAGACUAGAGGUAUGCAGGGGAGAACGGAAUUCCUGGUGUAGCGGUGAAAUGCGCAGAUAUCAGGAGGAACACCGGUGGCGAAGGCGGUUCUCUGGGCAUUACCUGACGCUGAGGAGCGAAAGCCAGGGGAGCAAACGGG
rnacentral:rRNA from 1 species